rnacentral:sRNA from 1 species
GGUCGAGUGGUUUGAUAUGAUCAGGUCCGCUUCUUCCAAUUAACUCGCCAAUAGCUCCAAAUAUCCUGAAAGCAACACAAAUAUGCAACAUGCAUGCAAAACUAUCCUAAACAUGCAAAGUGAUGACAAAUGAUGAGAAAUAAUAUAAA